rnacentral:rRNA from 1 species
AGUUAACGCUGGCGGCGUGCAUAACACAUGCAAGUCGAACGAGUUUAUGAGAUUACAUCAAGUAGACUAGUGGCAGACGAGUGAGUAACACGUAAGAAAUCUACCCUAGAGUGGGGAACAACCAGUCGAAAGACCGGCUAAUACCCCAUACGAUCAUCGGUUGGCAUCCUCUGAUGAUGAAAGGUUUUUCGUCUCCGGGACGAUCUUGCGGCCUAUCAGCUAGUUGGCGGGGUAACGGCCCACCAAGGCUAUGACGGGUACCUGGCCUGAAAGGGCGGACGGGCGACGGAGGCACUGAGACACGGGCCUCACUCCUACGGGAGGCAGCAGUGGGGAAUUUUGACAAUGGGCGAAAGCCUGAUCCAGCAACGCCGCGUGAGGGAUGAAGGCCUGAGGGU